UACGUAGGGGGCAAGCGUUGUCCGGAAUCAUUGGGCGUAAAGAGCGCGUAGGCGGCCCUGUAAGUCCGCUGUGAAAGUCGGGGGCUCAACCCUCGGAUGCCGGUGGAUACUGUCGGGCUUGAGUACGGAAGAGGCGAGUGGAAUUCCUGGUGUAGCGGUGAAAUGCGCAGAUAUCAGGAGGAACACCAAUAGCGAAGGCAGCUCGCUGGGACGGUAUUGACGCUAAGGCGCGAAAGCGUGGGGAGCAAACAGG
rnacentral:rRNA from 1 species